CCCUUAGAUGUUCUGGGCUGCACGCGCGCUACACUGAUGCACUCAACGAGUUUACGACCUUGCCCGAUAGGGUUGGGUAAUCUUUUUAAAAUGCAUCGUGAUGGGGAUAGAUUAUUGCAAUUAUUAAUCUUCAACGAGGAAUUCCUAGUAAGCGCGAGUCAUCAGCUCGUGCUGAUUACGUCCCUGCCCUUUGUACACACCGCCCGUCGCUCCUACCGAUUGAGUGCUCAGGUGAAUAAUUCGGACUGCAGCAAUGUUUGGAUCCCGAACGUUGCAGCGGAAAGUUUAGUGAACCUUAUCACUUAGAGGAAGGAGAANUCGUAACA
rnacentral:rRNA from 1 species